GGUAAAGCCACCGACUAAAUUAC
rnacentral:siRNA from 1 species